UACGGGAGGCAGCAGGCACGCAAAUUACCCACUGGCCGAAGGCCGAGGUAGUGACGAAAAAUAACGAUACCGGACUCAUCCGAGACCCGGUAAUCGGAAUGAGUACACUUUAAAUCCUUUAACGAGGAACAAUUGGAGGGCAAGUCUGGUGCCAGCAGCCGCGGUAAUAC
rnacentral:rRNA from 1 species